rnacentral:rRNA from 1 species
AUUGAACGCUGGCGGCACGCUUAACACAUGCAAGUUGAACGCAGCAUAGGGCUUCGGCUCUAUGGCUGAGUAGCAGACGGGUGAGUAACGCGUGGGAAUCUGCCUCUUUGUGGGGGAUAACUGAGGGAAACUUCAGCUAAUACCGCAUAAGCUCUACGGAGGAAAAGCGAAAACUGCAAAAAGAGGAGCCCGCGUCAGAUUAGGUAGUUGGUGGGGUAAAGGCCUACCAAGCCAAUGAUCUGUAGCUGGUCUGAGAGGAUGAUCAGCCACACUGGGACUGAGACACGGCCCAGACUCCUACGGGAGGCAGCAGUGGGGAAUAUUGGACAAUGGGGGAAACCCUGAUCCAGCAAUGCCGCGUGAAUGAAGAAGGCCUUAGGGUUGUAAAGUUCUUUCACCUGUGAAGAUAAUGACGGUAGCAGGAGAAGAAGCCCCGGCUAACCCCGUGCCAGCAGCCGCCGUAAGAC